rnacentral:lncRNA from 1 species
CAAGUUGUUCUUGUGAUUCUCAAAAUAAUUGCCUUAACUUGUCACCAAAUGUCUCAGCACUCUAUCUAUUUUCUCAUAUGCUCUCUUUUUCUAAAAUUAACCCUCUGAUUCAAUGUUCAUGCUUAAACUGGAUUUUAAGAUCUGGCUGAAAAUUUCACUAGCAUGUCAUAUCACUAGAGUCAACACAAAAUGUACUAUGUAAAGAAAACAAACAAACAACACAUAUUUAAAACACAAAGGAAAA